UAGAGGCCGCUGAAGCAUUCCUGAUGAAAAGACAAGAGCUGAGAAGAAAAUGUGACUUGCAAAUUGAAGACUCAAAAGCAGCAUUCAAAGGCAGGUAGAAGCAUUCAAGCUAGAAAGAGGUUUUGGAACUGAACCAUCUGGAUGGGGAUGAUGUAAAAUAGAUAGG